rnacentral:rRNA from 1 species
UACGAAGGGGGCUAGCGUUACUCGGAUUGACUGGGCGUAAAGGGCGCGUAGGUGGCUUGUACAGUCAGACGUGAAAUUCCUGGGCUCAACCUGGGGGCUGCGUUUGAUACGUGCGGGCUUGAGUUCGGAAGAGGGUCGUGGAAUUCCCAGUGUAGAGGUGAAAUUCGUAGAUAUUGGGAAGAACACCGGUGGCGAAGGCGGCGACCUGGUCCGAUACUGACGCUGAGGCGCGAAAGCGUGGGGAGCAAACAGG